rnacentral:misc_RNA from 1 species
CGCCUGUAUACACAAUCCGGCAUCUUCGAUACACACGGAAGAAGGACGACUCCGUAGAUUUAUAAUUGUUGUGAUUUCGCUUGUACCGAUAGUAGUAACAUCCAUUUCCAAGGACGUUGCUAUUUGUCAGAACGCAGUUACUCGCCGCGUUUCCUUAGUCUUCGCGUACACGUUGAAUCGUACGGUCGUGUUUCGAAUCGAAUUGACUCGCGCAUUGACGGCGUAACGCGUCUUUAACUUUCUGUCUGCCAUUUUAUCGUCGGUUCGAGCAUCGUAUAUCCCGCGACACUUGUUUCGCGUAUUCUCUGUGCUUUUUUUUCGCGAGUGAAAUAUAAUAUACAUAUAUAUAUAUAAAUGUUUAGAGAACAAUAUAUAUAUAUAUAUAUAUCGUUGUAAUAAAUUUUUGCGUUCAGUUAGAGCAAAAUGCAGCAACAGAAAUUACUACUCGACUAUAAAUUGUUCAACAGCCCGACACUUCAACUCGAUAAGAAUAACAAUAUACAAGAGACAAAUUGGUAAGCACAGAAAGUAAUAUUUUUACAAUUAAAUUUUGUUUCGAAUUAAUAGAAGAUUUUUAAAAAUUUAUAAUAUUCCGCCUGAAAAUUUUUAUUUCCAUAUUAUAAUUGCGCGUUUAAAAUUGUUUCGUCGAUCUUUAUAUAUCCACUUUGAAAGGACAUUUCUCAGAAAUAUGGCAAUUCUUACGAUAAGAAAAAAUUGUUUAUAUCUGGAACCGCGCACCUCGAUCGCCUAACACUUGCGUUGCGAAGACGUGUUUAUGGAAAUAUCCCCGAGGAAUCUUGAAUAUUUAUAAUUAUUUCACAAUUAAUAUCUCUUGCCAAUGAAACAUUUAUUACCAAUCUUUUUUUCAAUAAGAUUUUUCGUUCGAG